GGGGAAUUUUCCGCAAUGGCGAAAGCCUGACGGAGCAAUACCGCGUGAGGGAGGAAGGCUCUUGGGUUGUAAACCUCUUUUCUCAGGGAAGAAUAAUGACGGUACCUGAGGAAUAAGCAUCGGCUAACUCCGUGCCAGCAGCCGCGGUAAUACGGAGGAUGCAAGCGUUAUCCGGAAUGAUUGGGCGUAAAGCGUCCGCAGGUGGCAAUGUAAGUCUGCUGUCAAAGCGUCUGGCUCAACCAGAUAAAGGCAGUGGAAACUACAUAGCUAGAGUAAGGUAGGGGUAGAGGGAAUUCCUGGUGUAGCGGUGAAAUGCGUAGAGAUCAGGAAGAACACCGGUGGCGAAAGCGCUCUGCUGGACCUUAACUGACACUGAGGGACGAAAGCUAGGGGAGCGAAUGGGAUUAGAUACCCCAGUAGUCCUAGCCGUAAACGAUGGAUACUAGGCGUUGCCCGUAUCGACCCGGGCAGUGUCGUAGCUAACGCGUUAAGUAUCCCGCCUGGGGAGUACGCAGGCAACUGUGAAACUCAAAGGAAUUGACGGGGGCCCGCACAAGCGGUGGAGUAUGUGGUUUAAUUCGAUGCAACGCGAAGAACCUUACCAGGGCUUGACAUGUCCGGAAUCCUGACGAAAGUUAGGAGUGCCUUCGGGAGCCGGAACACAGGUGGUGCAUGGCUGUCGUCAGCUCGUGUCGUGAGAUGUUGGGUUAAGUCCCGCAACGAGCGCAACCCUCGUUCUUAGUUGCCAUCAUUAAGUUGGGAACUCUAAGGAGACUGCCGGUGACAAACCGGAGGAAGGUGGGGAUGACGUCAAGUCAGCAUGCCCCUUACGCCCUGGGCUACACACGUACUACAAUGCUAUGGACAAAGGGCAGCAAGCUGGCAACAGCAAGCAAAUCUCGUAAACCAUGGCUCAGUUCAGAUCGCAGGCUGCAACUCGCCUGCGUGAAGGUGGAAUCGCUAGUAAUUGCAGGUCAGCAUACUGCAGUGAAUUCGUUCCCGGGCCUUGUACACACCGCCCGUCACACCAUGGAAGCUGGUCACGCCCGAAGUCGUUACCCUAACCUUUCGAGGAGGGGGACGCCGAAGGUAGGACUGGUGACUGGGGUGAAGUCGUAACAAGGUAGCCGUACCGGAAGGUGUGGCUGGAUCACCUCCU
rnacentral:rRNA from 1 species